rfam:Arabidopsis lyrata subsp. lyrata unplaced genomic scaffold ARALYscaffold_1, whole genome shotgun sequence.
CCGACCUUAGCUCAGUUGGUAGAGCGGAGGACUGUAGUUGACGCAGAUUAUACUUAGGUCACUGGUUCGAAUCCGGUAGGUCGGA